UACGGGGGGAGCAAGCGUUGUUCGGAUUUACUGGGCGUAAAGGGCGCGUAGGCGGCCACCGCAAGUCGACUGUGAAAUCUCCGGGCUUAACCCGGAAAGGUCAGCCGAUACUGCGGGGCUAGAGUGCAGAAGGGGCAACUGGAAUUCUCGGUGUAGCGGUGAAAUGCGUAGAUAUCAGGAAGAACACCAAUGGCGAAAGCAGCUUUCUGGGACGGUACUGACGCUGAGACGCGAAAGCGUGGGGAGCGAACAGG
rnacentral:rRNA from 1 species